GACGAACGCUGGCGGCGUGCUUAACACAUGCAAGUCGAACGGAAAGGCCCUGCUUUUGUGGGGUGCUCGAGUGGCGAACGGGUGAGUAACACGUGAGUAACCUGCCCUUGACUUUGGGAUAACUUCAGGAAACUGGGGCUAAUACCGGAUAGGAGCUCCUGCUGCAUGGUGGGGGUUGGAAAGUUUCGGCGGUUGGGGAUGGACUCGCGGCUUAUCAGCUUGUUGGUGGGGUAGUGGCUUACCAAGGCUUUGACGGGUAGCCGGCCUGAGAGGGUGAACGGCCACAUGGGGACUGAGAUACGGCCCAGACGCCUACGGGAGGCAGCAGGGGGGAAUAUUGCACAGUGGGCGGAAGCCUGAUGCAGCAACGCCGCGUGCGGGAUGACGGCCUGCGGGUUGUAAACCGCUUCCGCCUGUGACGAAGCGGGAGUGACGGUAAUGGGUAAAGAAGCACCGGCUAACUACGUG
rnacentral:rRNA from 1 species